GUCUACAGUCAUACCACCCUGAACGUGCCCGAUCUCGUCUGACCUCAGAAGCUAAGCAGGGUCGGGCCUGGUUAGUACUUGAAUGGGAGAAAUCAUAAUUCUCUCAUUAAUACCAGAGCAAAGGAAU
rnacentral:rRNA from 1 species